AUGGGCGGAGAUUUGACAUGUACAGACCAAACCCACGAUAAAGCUCUGCAAAUAAACGGCUAGGUGGCCACUUCUGAGAUGUGGUGGAUGUUGGACAGGGUGAGCUGGGCCUCUUGAGUGGGAUAGGACCGUCUGCUGUUGAGCCACAGCCUUCCAAACACACCAGUGAUGAGCAGCAGAACCACCAGCAGACCACCCAGCACAAAGGUUUCAACGGGGGGCAUACCUGCAUCUGGAAUAGAGACAUACAUAGAGAAAUGGAGUAUUUCACAUAGAGGAGAAGAGAGAGGUAUUGACAGACCUCGGAAGUCAUGCAUCAUUCUGUAGCCAGCAUUCUGCACAUAUUAGGAACUCUGCGCCAGCAGAUUUCUCUAUGGGAGAAAUUAAAGGUUUGAAAAGGGAUCUACAACAGGGCAAGUUCUGCUGCUGAAGAUGACACAAGUUCACGCAAUCCAAUGACCCUCUGAGGCCUUACCUAACACCCUUCACCUGAGCUUAAUAUGGUGGUGUUCUUCCCAUGAGGGGAAACGGGAUUUCCUCGCCCUGGUCUGCAGCUUGGGUGGUGAAGACGUAGGAAAUUUCAGUGUGGGACGUGGUUUGCCUGCAGAUGGCACACUUUAUAGCUCUCUUUCGA